rnacentral:rRNA from 1 species
GACAGAGGGUGCAAACGUUGCUCGGAAUCACUGGGCGUAAAGGGCGUGUAGGCGGGAAGGAAAGUCAGAUGUGAAAUCCCCAGGCUCAACCUGGGAACUGCAUUUGAAACUCCCUUUCUUGAGUACCGGAGAGGAAAGUGGAAUUCCUGGUGUAGAGGUGAAAUUCGUAGAUAUCAGGAGGAACACCGAUGGCGAAGGCAGGUCUCUGGGCCACUACUGACGCUGGAGAAGCGAAAGCCGUGGGGAGCGAACAGG